rnacentral:rRNA from 1 species
CCUACGGGAGCAGCAGUGGGGAAUUUUGGACAAUGGGCGAAAGCCUGAUCCAGCCAUGCCGCGUGCAGGAUGAAGGCCUUCGGGUUGUAAACUGCUUUUGUACGGAACGAAAAGACUCUGGUUAAUACCUGGGGUCCAUGACGGUACCGUAAGAAUAAGCACCGGCUAACUACGUGCCAGCAGCCGCGGUAAUACGUAGGGUGCAAGCGUUAAUCGGAAUUACUGGGCGUAAAGCGUGCGCAGGCGGUUAUAUAAGACAGAUGUGAAAUCCCCGGGCUCAACCUGGGAACUGCAUUUGUGACUGUAUAGCUAGAGUACGGUAGAGGGGGAUGGAAUUCCGCGUGUAGCAGUGAAAUGCGUAGAUAUGCGGAGGAACACCGAUGGCGAAGGCAAUCCCCUGGACCUGUACUGACGCUCAUGCACGAAAGCGUGGGGAGCAAACAGGAUUAGAUACCCUGGUAGUCCACGCCCUAAACGAUGUCAACUGGUUNUUGGGUCUUCACUGACUCAGUAACGAAGCUAACGCGUGAAGUUGACCCGCCUGGGGGAGGUACGGCCGCGAGUAGAACGUACGAAAUAGAAGUUAGUACGGCGUGAGACGUAGCCGACGGACGACCGACGAGGGGAGGUUAGGG